rnacentral:rRNA from 1 species
UACGUAGGCGGUUUACUAAGUCAGAUGUGAAAGCCCCGGGCUUAACCUGGGAACUGCAUUUGAUACUGGUAAACUAGAGUAUGGUAGAGGGGGUAGAAUUCCUAGUGUAGCGGUGAAAUGCGUAGAUAUUAGGAGGAAUACCAGUGGCGAAGGCGGCCCCCUGGACCAAUACUGACGCUGAGGUACGAAAGCGUGGGUAGCGAACA